rnacentral:lncRNA from 1 species
CGCCUCUGAAUAAAGACCGCGUCAGCAUUCCGCAACCGACUCUGAGCUGCUUCCAGAUUAACUGACACUGUGAUUCAAAAUAAAUCCUAGCCGUUAAUUUCAGCAAUCACAGUUUAAUCUCAGCCUUCAAUCUCAUUCCGACUUCUAUAAAUAUCACUCCACCUCCCUCCGUUGGAUUCUCGCCUUGGGUGAUAGGUUUCAAGAUGGUGGUCGGUGGUGGAGGAUCUGGUUAAUUCUGGUUUUUUCUUCUAUUUUCUGCUAGACAUCAGUGAGGUCGUGUUGGUUUGAUUGUUUAUAUUGACGAUAUGAUUUGUGUAUGUUUCGGUUCCUAUGUGCAGAAAAGAUUAUGAUGCGAAGAUAAUUGUUGAUGUGGAUAUUUCUUCUUUUCUCCAUACCUGGUUAUUGUUUGCAAGUUAUUUUUGCCGAAGAUCGAAAUGCCUAGGAUUAUUUAGGAUCACUUUCUGGUUUGGUUUAGAUUUGGUAGAUUGUUCACCAUGUAGGUAGAAUAUUUUCUGGUUGAUUUGUGGUGUUAGGUAUUGGAAUAAGCAGAAUCAAGGCUUCAGAUCGAAGAUAUUUAAAUUGGUUACGUUGGCCUUCUGUUUGAUUGGGGAAUUUGUGUUUUUAAUGAAUUGCGAUGCAGCUUCACACAGAUCUGAUGAUUGGUUCAUUGAUUGAUUUCAGCUCUAGUAGGAAAGAGAGGGUGAUUCCUGAUAUUAACGCUGUGUUGCGGAUAGCUUGAUAAUCGAUUUAAUAUGAUAUUUUUGGAUUAUUGCAAUUUAUUCCUCUUUUCACGUCUCCACGGAGACAUCCAUUCAAGUUCGGUGAUUUUAAAUGAGUUUCUCUCUCUUGGGUCAAGUGUUAUUUCGUCCCUCCUUCAACAAGUGUUCACAGUUUGAUCAUUUUUUUAAAUCUUUAAACUCUGUUUAAAAUGAUUGUAUGAUGGCUAGCAAAAACGGUUCUUUUGGUGGUUCCUUUCUGUAUCUUUUCAAGAUUGGUGGUUUGUGGUUUGAUUUUCAGGAUCAGGGAGCAUUUUAUGUAAUCCUUUUAAACCUGUCGGCAGGGUAGCGAGGGAGAUUUUCUUUUACCCUCUUUUUUGUGCCCUCGUUAAUUUAAUUGGGCAUGUAGAACUAGUUUCUGUGUUUUGAGCUAACUGUUCGAAGAGAUGUUGACUGUGUAUGAUAAUAACCUAAUGUGAUAAUAUUUAAAUUUUUAGUGCCUCCAAUGUAUCAUACUAUGGAGCAUAGUGUGAUCAAACAUGACGUUGUUUGGGAAGUAUUCUCCUUUUUUGGUCUGGAUUCUCUUAAAAAUGAGAAAUAUCUGAGCUUUGUAAGGCAUCCUGAUCUUCUGCUUCUUUAUCAGGAAGAUAGAUAUAACAAAUUUUACUUAAAAGACAAGAAUUUAUAGUACUUCCGAGUAUAAUAGUAGUAAAUGAGUUUUAGAUGUUUGUUUUCCAGGAUCUGUAUGUCAUGGACCAAUAGUGAUGCAUAAGUGGAUUUGAGUGGGAUUCCAGCGACUGGCAGCUUGUGCCUUGUGGAUAGGCACGAAUAGGAAGUCUUUGUUUGAGUUUUGGUGUAAGAUGUGUUUGAUACAAUGGUAUUCAGUCCUUCAUAGAAGAUGCUCUUUUUUGAUACAAUGGACUUGAGAUGAACUGUAUAUAGGGAGAAGUUGAUGUGAAAGGGAGUAUUCAUCGUCUUCUUUUCAUGUUGGUGGUUUUUAGGUGUAAGCUUUUUUUUUGUCUGUUUCUAUUGGUCCACAGGUGGUGUUGUGGUUAAUUCUGAUAACCAUAGUAAUUUUUCAGGAUUCUGUUAAUGUAGUGGACUAAUGGAUUUGGGGAGAGACAUAUAGAUAGAGAUGUUCUUUUUGCUGCACUCAUUUGGUGUUAGCUACAGCUUAGAUGUAAGCUUGAAUAUUCUAUCUACAACUCAAUAUUUGAUAAUAUCUGUACAGGCUUGAUCCGGAAGUCUUUUUGUACCUUGGUUUUUGGUUGAGUUUUUCUACUUGAGGUUCAAAUUUGUUCUUCUCAAGACCUGUCCAUCAACUUUGAUUAUUCCAAGCAUUGAUGAUUCCCUGGUGUGAUUUCCAGGUCCAUGGAGCAUUUUGGUGGUUGGAUGCUAUGUUCACGGUGAAACCUGGGUAGUCAGGAAGAUUUUUCUUUUAUCUCUCCUUAUUUUUCUGCCAGUUAAAUUUAUACCUCCAUACACUUUAGUCACACAAAACUAGUUUCUGAGUUUCUAUGUGUGUGUUUCCAGCUUUUGACGAAGAUAUGGAGCAGGGAGUUUUCUUGCCUCUUCUGAUGUUUGCUCUUCCCCAUUCUUGUGUGAAUAUUGUUAUAAUACUAGAUUUUCUUUAUCAGGUUUCCUUGGAUCCAGUGGAGCCUUCUCCCUCUCUCUCUCUUCCCUUUUUUUUGCUUGUUUGAGAAAAAUAUUUGGCUCCUUUCCCUUAAUUAUCUCUUCUUAAAUGUGUACAGACAUACACACAUUGCAUAUCCAAUCCUUUAUUUAAUCUCUGCUCCUUCUCAUCUUGGUUAUGAAAUUGAGCAGGCUUUUCUAAUGAUUCCACGUUUGGAUUUGUUUGUCGUUCCUUGUGUUUAGUAAGCUUGCUAUGCUGAUAAUAUAUUUUGUUCAAUCCACUUUGAGUUCUACAGUAUCAUUUAAAGCAAUGAUGUUUUGUCAUUGACCUUUCAAACUUCUUUUGUGUUAGGGGUAGGAGCAAUUUAGCACUGUUCCAUCUUGGUUAUGAUCUUUCCUCAUGUUUUUGCUGAUUAUCUAUUUUAGGAUGUUUGUUUGGUUAUUGGUUCAAAGAUCAUCAUCUGAAGCUACAUUUGGGUUUUUUUNNNNN